GACCCAUCAUCAGCUCAUCGUCAGAGGAAAACGCGACCAGGUCUCCGUCCUCAUCUGAAACACAGACACAGCAAUGUCAUCCCAGACCAGGACCCAGGUGGACGCAGGUGGACCCAGGUGGACGCAGGUGGACGCAGGUGGACACAGAUGCACCGAGGGACGAGACUGAUCCUGAUGAUGAUCAUCAGCAGCAGCUGCAGGAACCUGGAUCUUAUUCGUCAUAAAACUGAUCCCUAAACACAACACGAGAUGUUUACUGAGCUCAGCACUAACUACACACUAAGAUACACAAUACUGUGGGUUUAACACUUGAUCACUACAGAGCUGAGUCCUGAUCAUGAUGAUUAUAAUAAAUAUGACAAUAUGUGAUGUGAUCAUUGACGAUGCUGUAAACUUAUUAACUGCACAUGAGUCACAUGACGAUGAUGAUGUUGUCAACAAAAGACAUUUUAAUGUUGACAGUAGAAAAUGUCCCAUGACAAGACGAGAGUUAAUGUAGCAACAGAAGCAAGACAGAAAUAAACGGAGACAAUCUAACAAAAGUAA